rnacentral:rRNA from 1 species
UACGUAGGGGGCAAGCGUUGUCCGGAAUCAUUGGGCGUAAAGAGCGUGUAGGCGGCCCGAUAAGUCCGCUGUGAAAGUCCAGGGCUCAACCCUGGGAUGCCGGUCGAUACUGCCGGGCUAGAGUUCGGAAGAGGCGAGUGGAAUUCCCGGUGUAGCGGUGAAAUGCGCAGAUAUCGGGAGGAACACCUAUGGCGAAGGCAGCUCGCUGGGACGUUACUGACGCUGAGACGCGAAAGCGUGGGGAGCGAACAGG